AUCUGGAUGGCUUACUGACGACAAACAUAAACAAAUGACAGAUGCACACUCACUUGCCCAUUCACUCAAAGACACACAGGCUUGUACGAACAGACGCAUACAGUGAGCACACAUACUGGGCGAGCACACACAAACACACACAAACACACACGCACACACACACACACACACACACACACACACACACACACACACACACACACACACACACACACACACACACACACACACACACACACACACACACACACACACACACACACACACACGGACACACGGACACACACGCACUCACAAAAACACACAGCCACUGUAAUUCUGACAAGCCAAACAAAGACUAUGAAAAUCGCAGUGGAUAUCCAUCCAGAGAAUGUUUUUACAUUUUUUACUGCAAAUAUGUGUUGACAGCAUCAUCCACAUUCAUCUGGGACUCUGUACAUAUCUAGAAGAAACUUUGAUGGCGGGGGAGGGGGAACAGGGAAGAGAGCUGGAGAAAAGACAAGAGGCCCCACUCGGAGAGGGAUCAAUUUGCAGCUAAUCACUCCUCCCUGCUCAGCUGGAUUAAGAACAUAACUCCAGGAGGAGAAGAGAGGACAGGAGGAAGAGAGGACGGGAGGAAGAGAGGACGGGAGGAAGAGAGGACGGGAGGAAGAGAGGACGGGAGGGAGCUUCACUUCUAUUUGAUAGUGUGUUAUGCUUCAGACCAUGCCUGCUUCUCAUUUUUUGGGUUUCUAAUAGAGAAAAAGAUAGGCUGCAUGGUUACCACUGAGCUCCUGCAGAGUCUCAUUCUGGCAGCUCCACAGCAGGCGAGAGGAUGUCCUCUUCAGGCUGCCUGUCGACCGCCCUCCCAAGGGUGCCAUUGAGGUUCUGGAGCUGUCACUCCCACGUUCCAGCAUCGCUCCUCUGCCUGCCACUACAAUGUCUGUCCGCCCGCCAAAAGAAAAGAAAGGAAGAAGAGAUGAAAAUGAAGCAGAAUGAAUUAUCUGCUUCACCUUGGUGGUGAAGAUGUGAGUGGGUGCCAAUGGUUAGCAGCGACAAUGCCAGCACUGCUCAGCUCCUAUCACCUGAUAAUUGAAAUCCAA
rnacentral:lncRNA from 1 species